AUUGAACGCUGGCGGCAGGCCUAACACAUGCAAGUCGAGCGGAUGAAGGGAGCUUGCUCCUGGAUUCAGCGGCGGACGGGUGAGUAAUGCCUAGGAAUCUGCCUGGUAGUGGGGGAUAACGUCCGGAAACGGGCGCUAAUACCGCAUACGUCCUGAGGGAGAAAGUGGGGGAUCUUCGGACCUCACGCUAUCAGAUGAGCCUAGGUCGGAUUAGCUAGUUGGUGGGGUAAAGGCCUACCAAGGCGACGAUCCGUAACUGGUCUGAGAGGAUGAUUAGUCACACUGGAACUGAGACACGGUCCAGACUCCUACGGGAGGCAGCAGUGGGGAAUAUUGGACAAUGGGCGAAAGCCUGAUCCAGCCAUGCCGCGUGUGUGAAGAAGGUCUUCGGAUCGUAAAGCACUUUAAGUUGGGAGGAAGGGCAGUAAGUUAAUACCUUGCUGUUUUGACGUUACCAACAGAAUAAGCACCGGCUAACUUCGUG
rnacentral:rRNA from 1 species